GAUGAAGAACGUAGCGAAAUGCGAUAAGUAGUGUGAAUUGCAGAAUUCAGUGAAUCAUCGAAUCUUUGAACGCACAUUGCGCCCCUUGGUAUUCCAUGGGGCAUGCCUGUUCGAGCGUCAUUUGUACCUUCAAGCUUUGCUUGGUGUUGGGUGUUUGUCCUGAGGGACUCGCCUUAAAGUAAUUGGCAGCCAGUGUUUGGUUUUGAAGCGCAUCACAAGUCGCGAUUCAAGGCUAUACACCAGCUUCCACAAGCCUUUUUCACUUUUGACCUCGGAUCAGGUAGGGAUACCCGCUGAACUUAAGCAUAUCAAUAAGCGGAGGA
rnacentral:misc_RNA from 1 species